rnacentral:rRNA from 1 species
AGAAUCAACGCUGGCGGCGUGCCUAACACAUGCAAGUCGAACGAGAAAGUGGAGCAAUCCAUGAGUAAAGUGGCGACCGGGUGAGUAACACGUGACUAACCUACCUUCAAGUGGGGGAUAACCUCGGGAAACCGGGGCUAAUACCGCAUAACAUCUUUGGAGUGGAAAUUCUGGAGAUCAAAGGAGCAAUUCGCUGGAAGAGGGGGUCGCGGCUGAUUAGCUAGUUGGCGGGGUAAUGGCCCACCAAGGCUUUGAUCGGUAGCCGGCCUGAGAGGGCGCACGGCCACACUGGAACUGAAACACGGUCCAGACUCCUACGGGAGGCAGCAGUGGGGAAUUUUGCGCAAUGGGGGAAACCCUGACGCAGCAACGCCGCGUGGAGGAUGAAGUCCCUUGGGACGUAAACUCCUUUCGACCGGGAAGAUUAUGACGGUACCGGUGGAAGAAGCCCGGCUAACUUCGCGCCAGCAGCCGC